GCUGGGCGUGGUGGUGGGCGCCUGUAGUCCCAGCUACUUGGGAGGCUGAGGCAGGAGAAUCACUUGAACCCAGGAGGCAGAGGUUGCAGUGAGCCGAGAUCGCGCCACUGCACUCCAGCCUGGGCGACACAGUGAGACUCUGUCUCAA
rnacentral:sRNA from 1 species